GACGAACGCUGGCGGCGCGCUUAACACAUGCAAGUCGAGCGAGAACCAGGCCUUCGGGCCUGGGGAAAGCGGCGAACGGGUGAGUAACACGUGGGUAACCCACCCUUGGUACUGGGAUAGCCCGGGGAAACCCGGAUUAAUACCGGAUGGCCCAACAGGCUUUCGAGCCGGUUGGAAAAGGUAGCUUCGGCCUCCGACCAAGGACGGGCCCGCGGCGGAUUAGCUUGUUGGUGGGGUAAUGGCCUACCAAGGCGACGAUCCGUAGCUGGUCUGAGAGGACGAUCAGCCACACUGGGACUGAGACACGGCCCAGACUCCUACGGGAGGCAGCAGUGGGGAAUCUUGCGCAAUGGACGAAAGUCUGACGCAGCGACGCCGCGUGGGGGAAGAAGGCUUUCGGGUUGUAAACCCCUUUCAGGAAGGACGAAGCUACUCGGGUUAAUAGCCCAGAGGGUGACGGUACUUCCAGAAGAAGCCCCGGCUAACUACGUGCCAGCAGCCGCGGUAAUACGUAGGGGGCAAGCGUUGUCCGGAUUUAUUGGGCGUAAAGAGCGUGUAGGCGGUUCGGUAGGUCCGUUGUGAGAACUCGAGGCUCAACCUCGAGACGCCGAUGGAAACCCUCGAACUAGAGUCCGGAAGAGGAGAGCGGAAUUCCUGGUGUAGCGGUGAAAUGCGCAGAUAUCAGGAAGAACACCCGUGGCUAAGGCGGCUCUCUAGUACGGUACUGACGCUGAGACGCGAAAGCGUGGGGAGCGAACAGGAUUAGAUACCCUGGUAGUCCACGCCGUAAACGAUGGGUGCUAGGUGUGGGGGGUGUCAACUCCCUCCUUGCCCAAGCUAACGCAUUAAGCACCCAGCCUGGGGAGUACGGCCGCAAGGCUA
rnacentral:rRNA from 1 species